rnacentral:rRNA from 1 species
ACGCUAUCACUCCUACGGGAGGCAGCAGUAAGGAAUAUUGGACAAUGCUCGCAAGAGUGAUCCAGCCAUUCCGCGUGCAGGAUGACUGCCCUAUGGGUUGUAAACUGCUUUUAGAUGGGAAGAAAGUGCGACAUUUAUGUUGUUUUGACGGUACCAUCAGAAUAAGGACCGGCUAACUCCGUGCCAGCAGCCGCGGUAAUACGGAGGGUCCAAGCGUUAUCCGGAAUCACUGGGCGUAAAGCGCAUGCAGGCGGCCUGUUAAGUCAGAUGUGAAAGCCCGGGGCUUAACCUCGGAAUUGCAUUUGAAACUGGUAGGCUAGAGUCUUGUAGAGGGGGUAGAAUUUCAGGUGUAGCGGUGAAAUGCGUAGAGAUCUGAAGGAAUACCAGUGGCGAAGGCGGCCCCUGGACAAAGACUGACGCUCAGAUGCGAAAGCGUGGGGAGCAAACAGGAUUAGAUACCCUGGUAG